GACGAACGCUGGCGGCGUGCUUAACACAUGCAAGUCGAACGGAAAGGCCCUGCUCUUGUGGGGUGCUCGAUUGGCGAACGGGUGAGUAACACGUGAGUAACCUGCCCUUGACUUUGGGAUAACUUCAGGAAACUGGGGCUAAUACCGGAUAGGAGCUCCUGCUGCAUGGUGGGGGUUGGAAAGUUUCGGCGGUUGGGGAUGGACUCGCGGCUUAUCAGCUUGUUGGUGGGGUAGUGGCUUACCAAGGCUUUGACGGGUAGCCGGCCUGAGAGGGUGACCGGCCACAUUGGGACUGAGGUACGGCCCAGAAUCCUACGGGAGGCAGCAGUGGGGAAUAUUGCACAAUGGGCGGAAGCCUGAUGCAGCAACGCCGCGUGCGGGAUGACGGCCUUCGGGUUGUAAACCGCUUUCGCCUGUGACGAAGCGUGAGUGACGGUAAUGGGUAAGGAAGCACCGGCUAACUACGUG
rnacentral:rRNA from 1 species